UGUAAAUAUUUCAUAUUUAAAAUAAAAUUACCAAAUGACACCGAUUAACGAUGUUAUGUGAAAAGUAGCACCCCAAUUGAGUCCUUUAAUAAUUAUUGCGCAAAGUGGAUAAGUGAUGGCAGCACCUACAGAGCCGCCUAAAGCACGACAUAUUUAGAAAUAUUAUUACAUUAUUUUGUCGUGGUCAUUUUUCAAAUCUUUCUCUCAAAAUUUUUCAAAUUUUAAUAAUCAAUUAUUAAUUAUUAAUUAUCGACGGAUGGAAUCCAUUUGGCAGUCAUAUUGUGCAUAGAAGGCCACACAACACCCUAAAUAAAUCAUCCAUGAUUCCAUUCUCUCAAAA